rnacentral:rRNA from 1 species
UUGACCUCGGAUCAGGUAGGGAUACCCGCUGAACUUAAGCAUAUCAAUAAGCGGAGGAAAAGAAACCAACAGGGAUUGCCCUAGUAACGGCGAGUGAAGCGGCAACAGCUCAAAUUUGAAAUCUGGCGUCUUUGGCGUCCGAGUUGUAAUUUGCAGAGGGCGCUUUGGCAUUGGCAGCGGUCCAAGUUCCUUGGAACAGGACGUCACAGAGGGUGAGAAUCCCGUACGUGGUCGCUAGCCUUUACCGUGUAAAGCCCCUUCGACGAGUCGAGUUGUUUGGGAAUGCAGCUCUAAAUGGGAGGUAAAUUUCUUCUAAAGCUAAAUACUGGCCAGAGACCGAUAGCGCACAAGUAGAGUGAUCGAAAGAUGAAAAGCACUUUGGAAAGAGAGUUAAAAAGCACGUGAAAUUGUUGAAAGGGAAGCGCUUGCAGCCAGACUUGCCUGUAGUUGCUCAUCCGGGUUUUUACCCGGUGCACUCUUCUACGGGCAGGCCAGCAUCAGUUUGGGCGGUUGGAUAAAGGUCUCUGUCAUGUACCUCCUCUCGGGGAGAUCUUAUAGGGGAGACGACAUGCAACCAGCCUGGACUGAGGUC